AUUUCUUCAGCCCACGAUUCUACUCUUAUUCGCAGAUAAAAGUCCUGCCUGGUGGAUGCCAGCUGAAUUGAUAUCUAGCCAAAAAAAGUGCCAGCAUUUUUCUUUCGCUUGAGUAUUGGAUCGUGCGGCUGUCCAUAGACAGCCGUGGAAGAGUCGAGAUGGCACAAACAAGUCAAUGGAUUCCAUCAUCUCAUGACUAGUUAAUCCUCGAGUCACAACUCGUAUACAAGCAAGUUCAUUA
rnacentral:misc_RNA from 1 species